rnacentral:rRNA from 1 species
GCCAUGCCGCGUGUGUGAAGAAGGUCUUCGGAUUGUAAAGCACUUUAAGUUGGGAGGAAGGGUUGUAGAUUAAUACUCUGCAAUUUUGACGUUACCGACAGAAUAAGCACCGGCUAACUCUGUGCCAGCAGCCGCGGUAAUACAGAGGGUGCAAGCGUUAAUCGGAAUUACUGGGCGUAAAGCGCGCGUAGGUGGUUUGUUAAGUUGGAUGUGAAAGCCCCGGGCUCAACCUGGGAACUGCAUCCAAAACUGGCAAGCUAGAGUACGGUAGAGGGUGGUGGAAUUUCCUGUGUAGCGGUGAAAUGCGUAGAUAUGGGAAGGAACACCAGUGGCGAAGGCGACCACCUGGACUGAUACUGACACUGAGGUGCGAAAGCGUGGGGAGCAAACAGGAUUAGAUACCCUGGUAGUCCACGCCGUAAACGAUGUCAACUAGCCGUUGGAAUCCUUGAGAUUUUAGUGGCGCAGCUAACGCAUUAAGUUGACCGCCUGGGGAGUACGGCCGCAAGGUUAAAACUCACAUGAAUUGACGGGGGCCCGCACAAGCGGUGGAUCAUGUGGUUUAAUUCGAAGCAACGCGAAAAACCUUACCAGGCCUUGACAUGCAGAGAACUUUCCAGAGAU